rnacentral:rRNA from 1 species
GUGGGGAAUCUUGCGCAAUGGGCGAAAGCCUGACGCAGCCAUGCCGCGUGAAUGAUGAAGGUCUUAGGAUUGUAAAAUUCUUUCACCGGGGACGAUAAUGACGGUACCCGGAGAAGAAGCCCCGGCUAACUUCGUGCCAGCAGCCGCGGUAAUACGAAGGGGGCUAGCGUUGCUCGGAAUUACUGGGCGUAACGGGCGCGUAGGCGGACAGUUUAGUCAGAGGUGAAAGCCCAGGGCUCAACCUUGGAAUUGCCUUUGAUACUGGCUGUCUUGAGUACGGGAGAGGUGAGUGGAACUCCGAGUGUAGAGGUGAAAUUCGUAGAUAUUCGGAAGAACACCAGUGGCGAAGGCGACUCACUGGCCCGUUACUGACGCUGAGGCGCGAAAGCGUGGGGAGCAAACAGGAUUAGAAACCCCGGUAGUCC